UACGUAGGGUGCGAGCGUUAAUCGGAAUUACUGGGCGUAAAGCGUGCGCAGGCGGUUUUGUAAGUCAGAUGUGAAAUCCCCGGGCUUAACCUGGGAAUGGCAUUUGGGACUGCAAGGCUGGAGUAUGGCAGAGGGGACUAGAAUUCCUGGUGUAGCAGUGAAAUGCGUAGAUAUCAGGAGGAAUACCGAUGGCGAAGGCAGGUCCCUGGGCCAAUACUGACGCUCAUGCACGAAAGCGUGGGGAGCAAACAGG
rnacentral:rRNA from 1 species